rnacentral:rRNA from 1 species
UACGUAGGUGACAAGCGUUGUCCGGAUUUACUGGGCGUAAAGAGCGCGCAGGCGGUCGUUCAAGUCGCGUGUGAAAGCCCCCGGCUCAACUGGGGAGGGUCACGCGAUACUGAUCGACUCGAAGGCAGGAGAGGGAAGUGGAAUUCCCGGUGUAGUGGUGAAAUGCGUAGAUAUCGUAAGGAAGACCAGUGGCGAAGGCGGGUCUCUGGACAGUUCCUGACGCUGAGGCACGAAGGCCAGGGGAGCAAACGGG